CUGUCUUACCUGGAAGCACCACUUUUCAUACACAACAUGUGGGGUUUUUUACAGAUUAAUCAUGUUAGAAAACCAGGUUCAUGAUCCAUUCAAGUAGUAUGCCUAGAUCUUUCUCUCCUUAAGGCAUUUCCUCAUGAUAACUGCUUCAGCACUGAUGACUGUUGCCAUGGUCUCUGCCUUCCAGAUCCUUCAAGUAGCCUCCACUCCAGCAGCUUUCACUUCAAGACCAUGUCAAAAGUUUGGUUUAUCGAGGGGUGACAUGAGAGAAGUCCAGCACAAUCUAUUUUUUGUGUCCUCAAUGGCAGACUUUGACACAGCAUCUUGGAGAAGACACAAGGAGAAAGACCUAAGAGAACUGUCAUCCUGCAAAAAAAUGUGGAGACCAUUGUUAUGGACUGGAAGAAAUGGAAUUAUAUGGUACUUGUUUGGGAAAUAAAGACACUAGAUUGAAAAAAAAUCGACAGAACUAAGCCUGUACAUCGGCAGAAGAAAUAAAUAUUGGCAAUAAACAGACCUGCA
rnacentral:lncRNA from 1 species